rnacentral:tRNA from 1 species
UGGCUCAGAUGGUAAAAGAACCUGCCUGUAAUGCAGGAGACCCAGGUUCAGUUCCUGG